rnacentral:lncRNA from 1 species
GGUUGCAGGUGGCUUUCCUGGGUGCAGCUGUUACUGCCGUCCUCACCUCUGUUAGCACUCAGAGAAAUGAAGGGUACCUAUGGAGGAACCACAGUGCCAGUGACUUCCAGCUGUUCAGUGUCCCCAUGUUGUUGGGGCACACACAUGGAAACAGGACCAUCUCUGCAUGGCAUGCUGGGCUUCAUGCACAAUUUCCGUCUUGAAGUUGCUGGUGAGUGGCCUUGGCACCCCUGCAGGGAGCCAUGGAUAUGUUUACCAACAAAAGGGCUCUGUAAUAUGCAACAUAUGGAGAUAGGAAAAACAACUUUAAUUGGGAAAGGCACAAUCCCAUUUGGUAACAUUGUUGUACCUCUUAAUAGUACUUUAUUUAUUCUCUCUUCCCUACUGAGUCAUGGCAGAUGCCAAAAGCCAGGACCACCAAGCAAAGCUGGCUCCUUCCCAAAAACAUGCCUUGCCUGA